rnacentral:rRNA from 1 species
CUACGGGAGGCAGCAGUGGGGAAUCUUGGACAAUGGGCGCAAGCCUGAUCCAGCCAUGCCGCGUGGAUGAUGAAGGCCUUAGGGUUGUAAAGUCCUUUUAACGGGGAAGAUAAUGACGGUACCCGUAGAAUAAGCCCCGGCUAACUUCGUGCCAGCAGCCGCGGUAAUACGAAGGGGGCUAGCGUUGCUCGGAAUCACUGGGCGUAAAGCGCACGUAGGCGGCUUUCUAAGUCAGGGGUGAAAUCCUGGAGCUCAACUCCAGAACUGCCUUUGAUACUGGGGAUCUCGAGUUCGGGAGAGGUGAGUGGAACUGCGAGUGUAGAGGUGAAAUUCGUAGAUAUUCGCAAGAACACCAGUGGCGAAGGCGGCUCACUGGCCCGAUACUGACGCUGAGGUGCGAAAGCGUGGGGAGCAAACAGGAUUAGAUACCCUUGUAGUCC